rnacentral:rRNA from 1 species
AUUGAACGCUAGCGGGAUGCUUUACACAUGCAAGUCGAACGAGUGGCGGACGGGUGAGUAAUGUCUGGGAAACUGCCUGAUGGAGGGGGAUAACUACUGGAAACGGUAGCUAAUACCGCAUACCAUCGGAUGUGCCCAGAUGGGAUUAGCUAGUAGGUGGGGUAAAGGCUCACCUAGGAGACGAUCCCUAGCUGGUCUGCGAGGAUGAACAGCCACACGGGAACAGAGACACGGUCCAGACUCCGACGGGAGGCAGCAGUGGGGAAUAUUGAACAAUGGGAGCAAGCCUGAUGCAGCCAGGCCGCGUGUAUGAAGAAGGCCUUCGGGUUGUAAAGUACUUUCAGCGGGGAGGCGUUACCCGCAGAAGAAGCACCGGCUAACUCCGUGCCAGCAGCCGCGGUAAUAC